rnacentral:sRNA from 1 species
GGAUGUGAGGGCAAUCUGGCUGCAACAUCUGUCACNCCAUUGAUCACUAGGGUUAAUUUGGCUGGUAUGGCUGGGUGGGAGGGUGUCCCUCCCUCAGUGUUCCAUGUGUAUCCCUCCCAAAGCUGCAAACUCAGAGGAAGAGGAUAACCAUCACAACCACCACCAUCUCUUUCUGGAGAAGAGAAGGGCAGAAAUGCUCAAAAGAAAUAAAUUUGAGGUAGAGAAGGUAAAAUGGAAGGGGAAAUUGACUCCACUCU